CUAUGAUUCCAUAAUGUGCCACCUACAUCAAGGCAUAAAGGAUCUCUGCACAGGUGUAACUCAAGCAGUGUCCCUGCUCAAAGAGCAAUCCUAUCGUGCAACCAAGUGUCAUGCAGGGAGAACUCAAGAGACUCUUACUCUACUCACUAUUUAUGAGAUUUCCUAG
rnacentral:lncRNA from 1 species